GUACUCUGGCGAGAUUCGACUACGAUAGCGAGUUUUCCAGCGAGAUUUGACGACGUUGACGAAUUCUCUGACUAGUUCUCCGGCGAGAUUUGACGAGGACUACAACCUCAAAUGGUUUUCAGAAUCUAUCACCAUCGUCGAUCAAUCCGUUCAUGAGCUAUGCAGUUUAGUAUCAGACUCGGUUCUGGAACUCUCCCGCGGUUUGCUCGAGCUCCAAUCUGCACUCGAAGGGUUUUUUAUUCUUAUCGGUUACGAACAGAAACAUGGGGAUUGGAAGUUCAAUUCGACCGAGAAUCAUCCGUUUGUGAGGAUUCUUUCAUGCAGAGUGGAGACGUAGGCAGAACUUCUUCACCAAGUAUCACUCUUUGUGAUGCGUACUCAGCGAUUGGGGAUGGUGGGAGUAUGUGAAUUUUCUGGAGCCGUUCGUGAAUUUUGUAAUAUUACGUAUCCCAUUUGCAAAUUCAUCCCCGUCUUUGUUUGUGAGGGAGUUAGUCUCAUCAAUGGCUUCCCUUGUUGCUCAUGCCGUCAUGAAGCACUGCAGGUAUUCAGAUUGCUUAUGCGGUGUCUUAAGUAAGUCCCAGGGAAGAACUCGGAAGCAAGUACUUAUGAUUGACAGUUACUAUGAUGAAUGCUUAUAGGACCAAGUACUAAGUUUCGGAGACUAUUCAGGACAAUAGAAAUUUCAGCUGCAUUGUCAAGACACUAGUGGAUGCUUUCAUUGUUGUUGCGAGAGACUUGGUUGGAACUAGAUUGUAUGUUGUGCUAAUUGCGUCAUGACUUCAUUUUGAUCUUUGUGCUCUUUUCUGACAUGUAUUCAUUUAUUUAAUGCUAGCAGGAAGUAAUAGAAAUGCAUGUGUUUGGUGUUCAACUGGGCUAGCUGUGUGAUGUUGAACAAAGGCAAGCAUAUAGUUGAAGUUGUUUCUAUGUUGGUCACUAUCCUUCAGUACCAAGCUUAUCUAUAAGAAACCAUACUCUAAGAAACUACAUUACUGAUGAUGCUUAUCACUGGAAAGAGAAUUUGUAGUUUGCUUGGUCCGUCCACGAACUGGGUGCGUCCGGUUCAGUCCUAGUUCAACAAUGU